rnacentral:rRNA from 1 species
GAUCCUGGCUCAGGACGAACGCUGGCGGCGCGCCUAACACAUGCAAGUCGAACGAGCGAGAGAGAGCUUGCUUUCUCAAGCGAGUGGUGAACGGGUGAGUAACGCGUGAGGAACCUGCCUCAAAGAGGUGGACAACAGUUGGAAACGACUGCUAAUACCGCAUAAGCCCACGACCCGGCAUCGGGUAGAGGGAAAAGGAGCAAUCCGCUUUGAGAUGGCCUCGCGUCCGAUUAG